rnacentral:rRNA from 1 species
GUGGGGAAUCUUCCGCAAUGGACGAAAGUCUGGCGGAGCAACGCCGCGUGAGUGAUGAAGGUCUUCGGAUUGUAAAGCUCUGUUAAUCGGGACGAAAGAGCCUAGUGUGAAUAAUGCUAGGAAGUGACGGUACCGGAAUAGAAAGCCACGGCUAACUACGUGCCAGCAGCCGCGGUAAUACGUAGGUGGCAAGCGUUGUCCGGAAUUAUUGGGCGUAAAGCGCGCGCAGGCGGAUCUGCCAGUCUGUCUUAAAAGUUCGGGGCUUAACCCCGUGAUGGGAUGGAAACUACAGAUCUAGAGUAUCGGAGAGGAAAGUGGAAUUCCUAGUGUAGCGGUGAAAUGCGUAGAUAUUAGGAAGAACACCAGUGGCGAAGGCGACUUUCUGGACGAAAACUGACGCUGAGGCGCGAAAGCCAGGGGAGCGAACGGGAUUAGAUACCCGUGUAGUCC